AGAGUUUGAUCCUGGCUCAGAAUCAACGCUGGCGGCGUGCCUCAGACAUGCAAGUCGAACGAUUAAACUUCUCUUCGGAGAAGAUAUAAAGUGGCGCACGGGUGAGUAACACGUAAGUAAUCUACCUUUGGAUGGGGAAUAACAGUCGGAAACGACUGCUAAUACCGCAUAAUGCAGCGGCAUCAUAAGAUGACAGUUGUUAAAGUAUUUAUACGUCUGGAGAGGAGCUUGCGGCAGAUUAGCUAGUUGGUAAGGUAACGGCUUACCAAGGCGACGAUCUGUAUCCGACCUGAGAGGGUGGUCGGACACACUGACACUGAAUAACGGGUCAGACUCCUACGGGAGGCAGCAGUCGGGAAUUUUGGGCAAUGGGCGAAAGCCUGACCCAGCAACGCCGCGUGAAGGAUGAAGUCUUUCGGGAUGUAAACUUCGUAAGAAUAGGAAGAAUAAAUGACGGUACUAUUUGUAAGGUCCGGCUAACUACGUGCCAGCAGCCGCGGUAAUACGUAGGGACCAAGCGUUGUUCGGAUUUACUGGGCGUAAAGGGCGCGUAGGCGGCGUGACAAGUCACUUGUGAAAUCUCCGGGCUUAACUCGGAACGGUCAAGUGAUACUGUUGUGCUAGAGUGCAGAAGGGGCAAUCGGAAUUCUUGGUGUAGCGGUGAAAUGCGUAGAUAUCAAGAGGAACACCUGAGGUGGAGACGGGUUGCUGGGCUGACACUGACGCUGAGGCGCGAAAGCUAGGGUAGCAAACGGGAUUAGAUACCCCAGUAGUCC
rnacentral:rRNA from 1 species